rnacentral:lncRNA from 1 species
GAACACUGAGUUCUAACAUCCAAGGGCAGAGAAAAAUGGUAUCCCAGCUCCGGAAGACAGAGAGCAAACUAUUUCACAUUGUCUCUGCCUUUUUAUUGUAUCCAGGCGCUCAGCUGAUUGGAUGAUACCUGCUCCCAUUGGGCCUCCAAAUUCUUCACUCACUGACUCACCCAGAACAACUUCCAGUCCUGCAAGCUCCAUUCAUGGAUCUCACUAUGUUACUUGGGCUGGUCUCGAACUCCUGGCUUCAAGUGAUCCUCCCAUCUCAAUCUCCCAAAGUGCUGUGACUACAGGUGUGAGUCACUGUGCCAGGCCCAACCUGAAACCUUGACUGCAACUCACCUCAGAGACUGCGACACACUGGCUAUGCCCCAAGUCAUAUGUGGAGAGGGCAGCUUUUCUCAUCCGGCUUGCCAGUGACAAGCAGUGUUAAGAUGUUUUGGGUACUUCAGUCAACAAGCUGCCAUCUUCAACAUGGGGCAUACAGAGCAGUUUUCAAGCCUCUAUAGAAGUCAUCUUACAGCGAGUCUGAGCCAGUGAAAUGCAGUUAUAGUGAUAUGUGUACUCCCAAGGUAGCUGUCAAUGCUCCUACUCGGAAAUACUCAUAUGUUGCUUCUGACUUGAAGCAGAGGAACUCACAACCUAAGAAGCCACAGGCUUGAAGAUGGCAGAGCACAAGAUGGCAGAAGUUUGGAAUGAAUUACUACUUGAAAGAGAAGCUCUUAUUUACCAAGAAAUAUAUUUUGGAAUUUGCAUGAGUAAGAAAUAAAUCCAAUUAUGCUAACAUUA